GAUGAAGACGUAGCGAAAUGCGAUACGUAGUGUGAAUUGCAGAAUUCAGUGAAUCAUCGAAUCUUUGAACGCACAUUGCACCUCUCGGUAUUCCGGGAGGUAUGCCUGUUCGAGCGUCAUUUGUACCCUCAAGCUCUGCUUGGUGUUGGGUGUUUGUUCCGCCUCUGUGUGUGAACUCGCCUCUAAACAAUUGGCAGCCGGCGUACUUGUUUCGGAGCGCAGCACAUUUUGCGAUCCAGAUCAACGUACAGCGGCAUCCAAGAAGCCUUAUUUAACGCUCUUGACCUCGGAUCAGGUAGGGAUACCCGCUGAACUUAAGCAUAUCAAUAAGCGGAGGA
rnacentral:misc_RNA from 1 species